rnacentral:rRNA from 1 species
ACGGCAGCGCGGGAGCAAUCCUGGCGGCGAGUGGCGAACGGGUGAGUAAUACAUCGGAACGUGCCCAAUCGUGGGGGAUAACGCAGCGAAAGCUGUGCUAAUACCGCAUACGAUCUACGGAUGAAAGCAGGGGAUCGCAAGACCUUGCGCGAAUGGAGCGGCCGAUGGCAGAUUAGGUAGUUGGUGAGGUAAAGGCUCACCAAGCCUUCGAUCUGUAGCUGGUCUGAGAGGACGACCAGCCACACUGGGACUGAGACACGGCCCAGACUCCUACGGGAGGCAGCAGUGGGGAAUUUUGGACAAUGGGCGCAAGCCUGAUCCAGCCAUGCCGCGUGCAGGAUGAAGGCCUUCGGGUUGUAAACUGCUUUUGUACGGAACGAAACGGCCUUUUCUAAUAAAGAGGGCUAAUGACGGUACCGUAAGAAUAAGCACCGGCUAACUACGUGCCAGCAGCCGCGGUAAUACGUAGGGUGCAAGCGUUAAUCGGAAUUACUGGGCGUAAAGCGUGCGCAGGCGGUGAUGUAAGACAGUUGUGAAAUCCCCGGGCUCAACCUGGGAACUGCAUCUGUGACUGCAUCGCUGGAGUACGGCAGAGGGGGAUGGAAUUCCGCGUGUAGCAGUGAAAUGCGUAGAUAUGCGGAGGAACACCGAUGGCGAAGGCAAUCCCCUGGGCCUGUACUGACGCUCAUGC